rnacentral:rRNA from 1 species
UACGUAGGGUGCAAGCGUUUGUCCGGAAUUAUUGGGCGUAAAGGGCUCGUAGGCGGUCCAUCGCGGUCGGGAGUGAAAAGCUGGGGCUCAACCCCAGUCCUGCUUCCGAUACGGGUGGACUAGAGGUAUGCAGGGGAGAACGGAAUUCCUGGUGUAGCGGUGAAAUGCGCCAGAUAUCAGGAGGAACACCGGUGUGCAAGGCGGUUCUCUGGGCAUUACCUGACGCUGAGGAGCGAAAGCGUGGGGAGCAAACAGG